rnacentral:rRNA from 1 species
CCCUUAGAUGUUCUGGGCCGCACGCGCGCUACACUGACGCAUUCAACGAGUCUAAAACCUGGUCUGAUAGGGCUGGGUAAUCUUUUGAAUGUGCGUCGUGAUUGGGAUAAAUGAUUGUAAUUCUUCAUUUUCAACGAGGAAUGCCUAGUAAACGCAAGUCAUCAGCUUGCAUUGAUUACGUCCCUGCCCUUUGUACACACCGCCCGUCGCACCUACCGAUUGAAUGGUCCGGUGAAGCCUCCGGAUUGGCGCGCACCUCGGUGCCGCCGAGAAGUUGGCUAAACCUUACCAUUUAGAGGAAGGUGAAGUCGUAACA